GCCGGGCGCGGUGGCUGACGCCUGUAAUCCCAGCUACUUGGGAGGCUGAGGCAGGAGAAUCACUUGAACCCAGGAGGCGGAGGUUGUGGUGAGCUGAGAUUGUGCCAUUGCACUCCAGCCUGGGCAACNNNNNNNNNNAGAUGGAGUUUUUGCUCUUGUUGCCCAGGCUGGAGUGCAAUGGCACAAUCUCAGCUCACCGCAACCUCCGCCUCCUGGGUUCAAGUGAUUCUCCUGCCUCAG
rnacentral:SRP_RNA from 1 species